rnacentral:rRNA from 1 species
GUCCACGCGGUAAACGAUGUCAACUAGCUGUUGGGGGCUGCGGCCUUGAGUAGCGAAGCAAACGCGUGAAGUUGACCGCCUGGGGAGUACGGUCGCAAGAUUAAAACUCAAAGGAAUUGACGGGGACCCGCACAAGCGGUGGAUGAUGUGGAUUAAUUCGAUGCAACGCGAAAAACCUUACCUACCCUUGACAUGUCUAGUAGGCCGAAGAGAUUUGGCUGUGCUCGUAAGAGAACUGGAACACAGGUGCUGCAUGGCU